rnacentral:rRNA from 1 species
GACGAACGCUGGCGGCAUGCCUAACACAUGCAAGUCGAACGAGACCUUCGGGUCUAGUGGCGCACGGGUGCGUAACGCGUGGGAAUCUGCCCUUGGGUUCGGAAUAACUCACCGAAAGGCGUGCUAAUACCGGAUGAUGUCGUAAGACCAAAGAUUUAUCGCCCAGGGAUGAGCCCGCGUAAGAUUAGGUAGUUGGUGAGGUAAAGGCUCACCAAGCCGACGAUCUUUAGCUGGUCUGAGAGGAUGAUCAGCCACACUGGGACUGAGACACGGCCCAG